UACGUAGGGUGCAAGCGUUGUCCGGAAUUAUUGGGCGUAAAGAGCUCGUAGGCGGUCUGUCGCGUCGGCUGUGAAAACUCGGGGCUCAACUCCGAGCUUGCAGUCGAUACGGGCAGGCUAGAGUUCGGCAGGGGAGACUGGAAUUCCUGGUGUAGCGGUGAAAUGCGCAGAUAUCAGGAGGAACACCGGUGGCGAAGGCGGGUCUCUGGGCCGAUACUGACGCUGAGGAGCGAAGGCGUGGGGAGCGAACAGG
rnacentral:rRNA from 1 species